GACCAUUCUCAAGAGAAUAGGUAGAGACUGAUGUGAAACUCUGAGAUGGCUCAACAUCUGAUGGGCUCCGACUUAUGCCUGUUUUGCUGUGAACCAUGCAUGAUACUUCCUGGCAAUUUCUAUGUACACAUGUGGAUCACAUACUUCAUUGUAGGUCUAAUAUAAUGAUGCCCAUUGCAUUAUUUGCACUUGUUUACAAUCCAGGUGCUAUCGGGCUCAUCUGGACUCCCUCUACAGCGCUGCAACCUGACGGCUGCAAUGCCAAAUGCAUACUAAGUUUGGACAUUUGAAAUUGUGGGCCCCUUGGGAGCCUACCUGACAAUCAUAUGCUAUGUGCCACCCACAACAUGGGCAAUCAAGAUUGGCUUGUGUGCGGUUGAAUGGGUUUUGGCACCCUUGUGAGGUGCAGCUGGCUGGAUUUCCAUUUUCCGCGGUGGUAUUGUUUGGCAUGGGCAUGUUCUGAGAGAUGAUCCUAUAUGCGUGGGACUCUUGGAAGUCCAAUCAAUAGAGAUCCUGACUUUCCAUUUUUCUCUUGCAGACAUUACAUGGGAUUAUCUGAGCCAUUAGUAACUUUUU